rnacentral:lncRNA from 12 species
CCUCUGCUUUCUGGAAGACCCAACCGACCCAUAGGCCAUCAAAUUUGAGGCUUUCAAGAAGAGUCAAGCUGGGAGUGCAGAUGCAGAACAGGAGAGCUUCUGGCAUAUAUUCAGAAUGGAAAUGCUAGCGGUUGUUGUGCUGUUUUUCUAGCCUGGACUUUCAUUCCAGAGUCCUCAAAAAUAAUGAGCUAUAUUGCUUCUCGAAUAUUUAUUUCCUCAGCUCUGCUGUACAAGGCAUUACCAUUUCAAAAAGGACUUGUCUAAUACAUUGGAAUUUUAAACUACAAUUCCUGAAGAUGCCAUUAAUCCCUUUCCAAACUUUGAUCUACUGUUGUGAUAUCUUUGGAUCCUGGUUUCUCUGUUUCACGUUUGAACUCUUGGGUUAAAGAUAUUAUUAAAAAGUAAACUUUAUAAACUUACAAUUAAAGAAAUGAUAUCAAGACAAAGUCGAUAAAUACUUAAAACUCAGACCUUCCUAAUUAUUUUAUUACAUUUUACUAUGAUCUAAGUUAUUGAGAUUAUUAUAUCUGUAUGAUGGAAAGGCCUUAUAAAGGUGACUGGUAUUCAUUCAUCUUUCCCCAGCUCUACACUCGGUGACGUUACAUGCGUAGCCUGACAUCAGCCACAGUGGGGGUGUUUACACUAUAGAAAAUGGUAAAUACUAGAAGUCAAGGCUUUGCUGGUUGUCUAGACCAGGUUUGGCAAACUAUAGUUCGAGGGCUGGAUGCUUAUUUUACAGAUUUUGUGUAUUUAUUUGAGACAGAGAGAGAGAGAGAGUAGAGGGAGGGGCAGAGGGAGAGGGAGAAGCAGGCUCCCUGCUCAGCAGGCUGCGGGCUCAAUCCCAGGACCCUGAGAACAUGACCUG